rnacentral:snoRNA from 1 species
UAGCACUGUCACCUGAGCCACUGCUGCUGUCUGGCACUGGCUAGGUUUUAAUGCAGUGCAGUGGGAAUUCCCUGCUUCCCUAAGGACUUGGCCUGCUGUGGGCUCCUCCUCCACAAGACUGGAGCUCUGGU